rnacentral:rRNA from 1 species
AUUGAACGCUGGCGGAAUGCUUUACACAUGCAAGUCGAACGGCAGCACGGGGCAACCUGGUGGCGAGUGGCGAACGGGUGAGUAAUACAUCGGAACGUGCCCAAUCGUGGGGGAUAACGUAGCGAAAGUUACGCUAAUACCGCAUACGAUCUACGGAUGAAAGCGGGGGAUCGCAAGACCUCGCGCGAAUGGAGCGACCGAUGUCAGAUUAGGUAGUUGGUGGGGUAAAGGCUCACCAAGCCAACGAUCUGUAGCUGGUCUGAGAGGACGACCAGCCACACUGGGACUGAGACACGGCCCAGACUCCUACGGGCGGCAGCAGUGGGGAAUUUUGGACAAUGGGCGCAAGCCUGAUCCAGCCAUUCCGCGUGCAGGAUGAAGGCCUUCGGGUUGUAAACUGCUUUUGUACGGAACGAAACGGCUCUCUCUAAUACAGGGGGCUAAUGACGGUACCGUAAGAAUAAGCACCGGCUAACUACGUGCCAGCAGCCGCCGUAACAC